rnacentral:rRNA from 1 species
GGACUACUCGGGUAUCUAAUCCCGUUUGCUCCCCUGGCUUUCGCGCCUCAGCGUCAGAAAGGGUCCAGCAGCGCGCUUUCGCCACCGGCGUUCCUUCCGAUAUCAACGCAUUUCACCGCUCCACCGGAAGUUCCCGCUGCCCCUACCCCACUCGAGACCACCCGUCUCCAGGGCUAUUUUCCGGUUGAGCCGAAAGAUUUCACCCCGGACUGGAUGACCCGCCUACGCGCCCUUUAAGCCCAGUGAUUCCGAACAACGUUCGCACGGUUCGUCUUACCGCGGCUGCUGGCAC